UACGUAGGGGGCAAGCGUUAUCCGGAUUUACUGGGUGUAAAGGGAGCGUAGACGGCCAUUCAAGCCAGAUGUGAAAGCCCGGGGCUCAACCCCGGGACUGCAUUUGGAACUGUAUGGCUGGAGUGUCGGAGAGGCAGGCGGAAUUCCUAGUGUAGCGGUGAAGUGCGUAGAUAUUAGGAGGAACACCAGUGGCGAAGGCGGCCUGCUGGACGAUGACUGACGUUGAGGCUCGAAAGCGUGGGGAGCAAACAGG
rnacentral:rRNA from 1 species